GUUUUUCUUUCAGAAAUCCUUACAGAACUGAAUGCCACUACACCACUCGAAGAAACGACACCACAAAACUAUGAAAUGCUUACACAAUUGAAUGCUACACCACCACCACCUGAAACUUGGAUACCACAAAACUAUGAUAUCCCUGUGCAGAAUUACAGUAUUCCGGAUAGAGAGCCAAUAAUCUAUGGAUAUCCGAUGCAGCAGAAUGACACUUUUCCGAAUAGACACCAGGUCCAAGAACAAAUUAAUGUUGGUAAGACUCAUGUUCUAUAGACUUUUGUGAGAAUAUAGAAGAAUAUUUUAAAGAAAAUGUUUUAGUAUAACGUAAAAUCUAUUGGUAUUGUAAUUAGUGCUUUACAGCAAUAUUGCAAUGCUCCUUGAUUGAUCAUCAUCCCAUAAGAUGUAUCACCUCCCGAGCCUUUUCCCAACUAUGUUGGAGUCGGCUUCCAUUCUAACCGGAUUCAGCUGAGUACCAGUGCUUUACAAGAAGCGACUGCCUAUAUGACCUCCUCAACCCAGUUUCCCGGGCGACCUGACACCCCUUGGUUAGACUGGCGUCAGACUUGCAGGUUUCUGACUACCCGUAACGACUGUCAAGGAUGUUCAAUGACAGCCGGGACCUACAGUUUAACGUGCCAUCCGAAACACAAC